UUAUGCGUACGUGGCCGUUCAGGGUUGGCUGGCCUCGGCUAUUUAGGGAGCAGGAGGGGUUUCUCCCGCGGCUGCCUUUCCACUGUUUAUCAAGGUCCUGAAUAAACUGUCUGCAAGAAGGGUUCCUGAGUCGCGUCUUCCUUGCUGGUCAAGGUGGUCGUUACAAGAAUCAGACACAUUAAUCUCCUUCUUCAGAGAAAUUGAAACAGCCACGCAGGAUCACUGAUUUUCACACGGAGAUACCCAAGAAGCUCCUGUUGGGAGCCCUGGAGGACUGAGAUCCACUGAGGGCUCAACAAUUUUCAGUUAUCAAUUCAGGUUUGCAAGGCAGCUUUUCAUGUGUCUCAGUGUGAUUCACACUGUGUGCUGGCUAAUUUACUACAACCUAUGGAUGCCAGGAUCGCCCUGUAGAAUUCAAAAAGGGGUCCAAGCUGCUGAGCUGGAAGAUCCCCAGCCCAGGCAUCACUCCUUGGCAGCUCUUGGGAUCACAGAGCACGUGUCUCAGUUCAGAGUUCCAUCUCAGUGCUGAUUUUCAAAGGGGAACAUGACUUCUAAGUACCAGGGAAUGUGAUGAUCUAAGGAAGAUGCAGAAAGUGAAGCAUGAACAGUCUCCUUAAUAAGACCCAGGUCGCCAUGGCUGAUGAGUUCAGUCUCAGCAUAUCUAGCAUCAGUCAAGAGGGGCCAUUUGGAAGAGAACAGAAUUCAUGAACGGCAGCCUUCUUAAUUUACCACUCUCUGAUUCGACUUCAUGGUUUCCUGCUUUCAAAAAGAGACUUGGCCUGCAGGACAGUAGAUUCUGGCUGUGAUGGAAGCAACCAGAAGAGGAUACACUUUGGAUGUUUUCGAAGUCUCAGAACAGCAUCGGUAUUUCUCCAUUUUGGUUCUGAGUGCAGGAACCAAAAUAAUUUCAUGACCAUACUUGGUGAGACAUGCUGGAAAAUGUUUCCAUCAAUAUGAAGGCAUGAUUGAGGAAUGCAGGGAACAAAGAAGCAUGAGCCAAUGGUUUUCUCUACAAUGAUACCUACAGAUUGGAGGUGGGCUGUGGCAAUAGGUACCCCUGCCUAUUAAACAGCCUCUUGAUAUAUGAAAA